rnacentral:tRNA from 1 species
GGCAUUAUAGCCUAGUGGUGGGAUAAGGCUUAUAACCAUUAGGUCAUGGGUUCGAUUCCCACAAAUGGGG